AGGUGCAAUCAUAGCAGCACUAAUGCACCGAAUCCCAUCAGAACUCUGCAAUUAAGCGUGUGUAGGUGAGAGUAUUACUAGGAUGGGUGACCUCCUGGGAAGUCCUCGUGUUGCACCUC
rnacentral:rRNA from 2 species